rnacentral:rRNA from 1 species
UACGUAGGGGGCUAGCGUUGUCCGGAAUCAUUGGGCGUAAAGCGCGCGUAGGCGGCCCGGUAAGUCCGCUGUAAAAGUCAAAGGCUCAACCUUUGAAUGUCAGUGGAUACUGCCGGGCUAGAGUCCGGAAGAGGCGAGUGGAACUCCUGGUGUAGCGGUGGAAUGCGCAGAUAUCAGGAAGAACACCGAUGGCGAAGGCAGCUCGCUGGGACGGUACUGACGCUGAGGCGCGAAAGCGUGGGGAGCAAACAGG